rnacentral:rRNA from 1 species
AAGGGCACCACAAGAACGCGUGGAGCAUGUGGCUUAAUUUGACUCAACGCGGGGAACCUUACCGGGUCCGGACACACUGAGGAUUGACAGGCGACCAAAUUAUGCUAGUCCUUUCAUGAUUGUGUGAUAGGUGGUGCAUGGCCGUUCUUAGUUCGUGGAGUGAUCUGUCUGCUUAAUUGCGCUUCAGAUUAUAUGGAUAUCUGAUUGUAUAUGAUAUCUUAUUCUUUGAAUAUUUUAUUUUUAUACAGGAUAAUCCUAUGAAAGCAACGAACGUGACCGAGUCUCCUUGUUACCUUUAUUAUUACUUUUGUAAUAUAAAAGGCAAACUAGGGGGACUGCACGGGUUUUUACCCUGAGGAAGGACUCGGCAAUAACAGGUCUGUGAUGCCCUUAGAUGUUCCGGGCUGCACACGUGCUACAAUGAUUACCGCACCGUGCAUCUCUUGGUUUUUUUGAACUGAUAAUACUUUGUAUUUGAAGUUCCACAAUGGAAAAUAUAUAAUUUAUUAUAUAUUGGAUAUUGUGUGCCCUAUCUCGUCAGUGCGAUAGGCAAUCAAUUCCAAAUGGUAACAUCCCUCGCGCAUAAAUCAAGUUGAGUGUUAUAUUAUUAUCUUCGGAUAAUUUUAUUCAUUCACUAUGCUCCAAGUAAACUCGUGGUCGGGACUGAGGGUUGCUAAUUAUCCCUCACGGUUCCAACUAGGAAUGCCUUGUACGGGCCUCUGGUUCAACAGACCGCCCGGAAUACGUCCCUGCCCUUUGUACACACCGCCCGUCGCUCUUACCGAUGGACUCUGCUGUGAGUCUAUGGGACUCUUAAUGGAUUCGAAGCCAUUAUACGGAAACAUAGACGAACAGUGAGGUCUAAAGGAAAGAGAAGUCGUAACAAGGCA